AUCUGAAGGGUUUUAGGAAUUCAUGCUUCGAAUGCACUGAGCAGUUUUCGACCAUCUAUCGGAACUUGUUUCGCAGUUUUCCUUUCAGUCCGGUUUCUCGCUCAAAUUUCCAUCUAAUUGUUCCAAAGUGGCGAAAAACUCCUGUAAUUACGCGCACUGGGACCUUUCGGUCGAAAUUCAACACCCAUUAAAACUCUUAUCGCCCUACACUAUUGCCACGCCGGUUUUUACUAGCUGUCACAGUUCACAGUUUCUCUGGGUCCGUUCCCGUGCUACCGGUUCUCUCCCGCAGUACGUGAUGAUAAUAAUUAGCGCAUCAAAAGUCAUCCCAUGGACGAGUCCGAGAAAACCGUUCCAGACCGUUUCGUAGCGCAGUAUCAGUGGCAGAAAGCUGCAGCAUCGGAGCAACGAUUUCGGCUGCAAAGUUUUUGGAGCAAAUAACACUUAAACUUUCUCUUUGUGACGAUGGCGCGGACCUCUGGACGGCUGGGCGGCUCCGUGAGGCGUCAUCGUUGGCCAUAAGAAUUUAGUGUCGCUUUUGUCGCUAGCUUUGCAGCACUCUCAUGAAAUGGAAACGCGCGGUAGUGGACAUUUCAUGACUGGGAAGCCUUGUUGGUAAUCAGGCUGUAAUUAAGCAUCGCGGAAAGUUGGACAAGUUCUUUUUCUCUCAUUUGGGAUUUCAUUCUCGUGCUGCUGGUUGGGGUUCGAUGGCUCUGGGUGAUGUUCAGGAGGGUGAUGUGAGACGGAAUAUAAGCAACUAAAGCAUGGCGCAACAGCAACCAGGCAGGGCUGUACGAAAAUAUUUUAAUCAGAACCAUCAGCAUUGCAGUAGAACCUCAUAAAAGAGUAGCGAGAUAGGUUCAUGUUUAUGGACAGCACGAGAUGUGCUUAGAAAACUAGGUGGAAUGCGAUGUUUUCAUUGCCACGUAAAAACGUUCGCUUUCCGGUCGAAGUUUGGAGGAGAAUUUAAGAAUAGGUAUUUUCGCAAAAAAAUGUUCAAAUGGAAGCAUUUGAUAUUGGAAAAGGUUUAUUCUAAUAGAAAAUUUAUUGAAAACUAGCUGACCCGGCAAACUUUGUCCUGCCCAAAAUUUGUUUUUUGUUAUUAACAUUCACGUUUUCUCACUAAGCGCAAGUUCAUAAGUCCAAUCGCAGAACUAUUCAUUGAUUGAUCUUCUAAUCGACCCCGUUGAAUUUACCUUUUACUAAAAAAAAUCCUAGUACUUCUACCAAAACUCAUCAUUAUAAUAUCAGAUUAUUUUCGGGCACAGGCCGCUCUCUCUUCUCCCCUUUAGAGAGGGGGGAGGAGUGGCUAUUGACCAUGGAAACGUUUCAUGCCCCUUAAAAUCUUCACAUGCCAAAUUUGGCUGAGGAAACAAAGCUAUUCGAAGCUUCUAACCUUGGAUUAAAAUUGCACAGUUGACUGGUGGAAUGUUCAAUGUAUAUUAGACUGAGCAUAUGCAACACAAAGAAAUCUCAGGAAACGGGAGAGCAAAUAAUGCGGAUGAAAUGUACUGCGAUCUGGUCCCAUCAACUGCCAACUAAUCAGUUGUUCCUGUCCUAAAGGAUGAAAAUGUGCUACAAGAAAAGGAGCAAAACCUUGAUGAGUGAGGGUUUGAAAAAACAUAUGAGAUUGAUUCGGUCGAGGCUGCGAUUAAAUCUGUCUAUUUGCACGAGCAAUGUUUAGAUGUAGAAUGUAGGAUGUAGGAAAUUACUGUGUAAAAGAUAAUGUAUGAUUGAA